rnacentral:lncRNA from 1 species
CAUCAGUUAAGCUUAAUUAAAGAAAAACUUAAAUUUUGUUUUUAUAUUAGUCCCACUACUAUAGUAAUGAGAAAGUUAUGACUCUCCAUAUAUUAACCAUUAACUUAAGUGUGCACAAUAAGACAUUCUAUUUUAGAAAUGGGAAUAUGUGUGGCUGCUUUAGAUUUAAUUCACUGUAGUCCUCAUGAAUACCUUCCCUAAAGUUGAAAACUAAUUUGCUUUUAAUCUACACUCUACAUCCACAGGAAUCUGAGGAAGAGGAUGAAGAUGAGGAUGAGGAGGAUGAAGAGGAAGAUGAGGAUGAGGAUGAGAAUGGUGAUUCCUCUGAGGAGGGAGGAGACUCUUCAGAUUCAAGUAGUGAAGAGGAGAGUGAAGAUGGGGAAGAGAAUGAAGAAGAGGAUGAUGAAGAAGAUGACGAUGACGAUGAGGACAAUGAAUCAGAAGGCAGCAGCAGUUCCUCAUCCUCUUCAGGAGACUCUUCCGAUUCGGACUCCAACUGAAUUGUCUUUCAUCUUCCACCUUCCUUGCUGUACUUUAUUCGGUUUUGUUUUUCCGGAUAAUAGUAACAUUGGAAAGCUGGGAAUGGGGAAGAAACAGAGGGGGCGGGGGGUGGGGGGGAAUCACUGUGGUUUAAUUCACUUCCUUUCUUCACACACCUCACAUUGCAUUAACGAUGUGUGGGUAUGGCAGAGAGGAGCAAGGGGCGGGGUACACAAUAGCUGACAACCAGCUGAGGGGUGUACUUUUCCCUUUUUUAUGGCUGAUGAUAGUGUGGGGAGAGAACUUCAUUAUAUAAUCCCUUCUCUCUCCCUCCCCUUAAAUCUCUGUUUAUGAGAGAUGACAGGGGUCAUAGCAAAAUCCAGACUCCUAUAACUUCUUUUCCCCCUCUCAUCUUCAUCCUUCUUCCAACCCCCAGUUCUAGCCACCAGCUUGGGACUUUGUACAAAUCCUUUUUUAAACAACAACAUGGCAAUGAGAGACAUUUCCCCCUUUUUCUCCAUCAACCCCAGCAAACAGCCAAGGAGAGAUGGAUUCUGAAAGAGCGCGAGCUGUGGGAAUUUGCCAGUGAGCCCCAUCACUCCUCAUAAUGGACAAUCUUGUAUAGUCUUGAUCUUUCACAUUUUAACAAAAGAGAAAGAGAGAAAGCAAACAAAGUGGCUGCAACUGCACUUAGCAAUUUCCUGUGACAAACUGGAUAUCCAGCAUUUCCUGCUGAGGGAAAUGGGGGUUGGGGAGGGUCAUAUUUUGUGUGAGCGUGUUGCAAGAGUCAAGGGAUAGAAGAGGAACUGAAGAACAGGAUUUUUUUAAUUUUAUUUUUUUGCAAAGGGGAAAUGUCUGGCAUACUGUUGAAGAUGGAGAGAAUUUCAAGAACUUCAAGUGACUGGCUUUAUUUUGCUGGAGAUGGACUUUUCUGUCAUUUUUCUGACCAGCGUUUGGAUAAAGACCAUAGUAGCCAGACCCCUUUGGGUUGAUGUUGUUGUUAAUAUAUAUAUUUUUUUUUACAAUGAAGUGACCAAUAAUUGUACCAAAAUGGGGCAUUUUGUUGACUGUCUUUGGGAGGGGUGGUUGGUUGUGGGGAUCAUAUGUGUCAUUAGCAUUUUUUAAAAAAUAUUUUAUAAACCAAGUAAGACAACCAUCUUUUUUUACAACAAAACGUUCCCUCUUUGACAUUAACCUCUUUAUGUGUCUUUUACCAAAUGCAGAAUUUAGUAGUUUUAAGAUCUUGAGGAAAAAUGAUUUCUGUGAGACCGUGUAUUGAAGAAAUACAAAUGUAUGUUUUUUUUCCAACAUGUCUUGAACACACUAAGUUGAAUUUUCAAUUCAAUUCUGGACAGAAAUGUGAUGUCAGGAAAAGAUCAGGCGCACAAUUUCUCUCUUCCUGCCCCAACCCUCUCUUUUCUUUAGCAUGGCUUUUAAAUAUCUGUGGAAGUUCUGUAAAUUAGGCUAUGAUUUAGGAGAAACUUAGCUAAGCAUAUAAAUCACAAAUAACCAAUCCUAGGUGAAGUUAAUAUUUUGUAUGUAGGCAUUGCAAUAAAACAAAGUUAAGUGAUAACAGAAGUGAAAGAUUCCAAUCUUGGAUUUCAUAGGUACAUCGAAUUUUUAAAAAGGGUGGAGAUCAUAUAAGGUAAAGGUGUGAGAAUAAGCUCCUAAAUCAUCUCCAAAGGUUUGAGAAUAAGCUCCAAUCAUCUCCAAAUAGG